rnacentral:misc_RNA from 1 species
ACGUUCCCGACAAGUAAUCCUGUCGUACGGAUGCAGCGACCCUUCUUUGCAACGUAUACCAAUAGUAAUAGGGCUACACUCAUAUACUGUAGAUUGUGUUGUUUGGGGUUAUCACAUGUCAAGCUGCUGUGGCUUGGGAGGCUAAGAAGCCCCUUACCCUGGAGACGGUAGAGGUGGAGCCCCCUAGGGCAGGGGAAGUCCGCAUUAAGGUGCUGUACACUGGGGUGUGCCACACUGACGCCUACCUGCUGGAUGGAUUUGACCCUGAGGGGGCUUUCCCCAUCAUUAUGGGACAUGAAGGCGGGGGAGUGGUGGAGAGUGUCGGGGAGGGAGUCACCUCUGUACAGCCAGGUGUUGUCUGCAUAAUGUGUCAAAAAUAACAAUUUACAAUCCACUUAGAGGAAGCUUCAUAUAUAAGAGCAGAGUUCUCAGAUUUUUUGCAAGAAUCAUUAGUGAAUUAGUCUAAAUUGGAAAUCUGGUCUGUACAGGCGACCAUGUGAUUCCUCUGUACAUCCCUCAGUGUAACGAGUGCAAGUUCUGUAAAUCUCCAAAGACCAACCUCUGUGGCAAGAUCAGGGCAACCCAGGGUAAAGGAGUGAUGCCAGACGGAACUUCUCGCUUCAAGUGUAAGGGGAAGACCCUGUUGCACUUCAUGGGAUGUAGCACAUUCAGCCAAUACACGGUUGUCACGGAGAUCUCUGUAACUAAGGUGAACCCUGCUGCUCCCUUGGACAAAGUGUGUCUGCUGGGCUGUGGAAUCUCCACUGGUUAUGGAGCUGCCCUCAACACAGCUAAGGUAGAGCCGGGCUCCACCUGUGCUAUCUGGGGCCUGGGAGCCGUAGGUCUGGCUGUUGCUAUGGGGUGCAAGGAGGCUGGGGCCAAGAGGAUUAUAGGCGUGGACAUCAACCCAGACAAGUUUGAAUUAGGUAAAAAGUUUGGACUGACCGAGGGCGUUAAUCCCAAGGACUACAACAAACCAAUACAGGAGGUGCUGGUGGAGAUGACAGAUGGGGGGCUGGAUUACACCUUUGAAUGUAUCGGAAAUGUGGCGUGUAUGAGAGCCGCCCUGGAGUCCUGUCAUAAAGGCUGGGGUGUGUCCACCAUUAUUGGAGUCGCUGCAGCAGGGCAGGAAAUAUCCACCCGCCCUUUCCAACUUGUCACAGGCCGAGUCUGGAAGGGGACUGCUUUUGGAGGCUGGAAAAGUCGAGAGAGUGUUCCAAAACUGGUGGACAGUUACAUGAACAAGAAACUUCUGGUUGACGAGUUUGUAUCACAUAACCUUAACUUGGACCAGAUCAAUGAAGCCUUUGACCUAAUGCAUGCUGGGAAGAGUGUUAGAACUGUGGUGAAGUUGUGAACCUGACAGCAUGCUUGACAGAGAUCAUAGACACUGGAUUUGUUUUGUGAUUCUAAUGAUUAUUAUGAUUUGUAUAUUCCCUAUAUCUUGGAAUGUGCAUAGAGAUUUUUUCUGAAUGCACAGAAAUGCAAGAAUUGUUAUGAUAUUUUGUACUAAAAAUGAUUAAUAAUUAAAAAAAUUCG